rnacentral:rRNA from 1 species
CCUACGGGUGGCAGCAGUGGGGAAUAUUGCGCAAUGGGCGAAAGCCUGACGCAGCGACGCCGCGUGAGGGAUGACGGUCUUCGGAUCGUAAAACUCUGUCAGCAGGGAAGAACGGUCACUGUGCUAAUCAGCAGUGAAUUGACGGUACCUGCAAAGGAAGCACCGGCUAACUCCGUGACAGCAGCCGCGGUAAUACGGAGGGGGCGAGCGUUAAUCGGAAUUACUGGGAGGAAAGCGCUCGUAGGCGGUAUGUCAAGUCAAGGGUGAAAUCCCCGCGCUCAACGUGGGAACUGCCUUUGAAACGGGCAAACUGGAGUGUGUGAGAGGAGAGUGGAAUUCCUGGUGUAGGAGUGAAAUCCGUAGAUAUCUGGAGGAACAUCAGUGGCGAAGGCGACUAUCUGGCACAUAACUGACGCUGAUGAGCGAAAGCGUGGGUAGCAAACAGGAUUAGAUACCCCAGUAGUC